rnacentral:rRNA from 1 species
UUGGAUUAGAUACCCCACUAUGCUUUGCCCUAAACAUUGAUAGUUUAAUACAAUCGCUAUCCGCCUGGGAACUACGAGCAGUAGCUUAAAACCCAAAGGACUUGGCGGUGCUUUAGACCCCCCUAGAGGAGCCUGUUCUAAAACCGAUAACCCCCGUUCAACCUCACCUUUUCUUGUUCCCCCCGCCUAUAUACCGCCGUCGUCAGCUUACCCUUUGAAGGCCCUUUAGUAAGCAUAAUUGGCACAGCCUAAAACGUCAGGUCGAGGUGUAGCGUAUGGAAAGGGAAGAAAUGGGCUACAUUCCCUGUUACAGUGAAUUACGGAUAAUACCACUGAAACGUGUAUCUAGAAGGAGGAUUUAGCAGUAAGCAGAAAGUAGAGCGUUCUGCUGAAACCGGCCCUGAAGCGCGCACACACCGCCCG